UGGUGACUAAAGUGUUAGUUACUGGUCCUUAUUUUGGUACCAGGUAUGAAGCAUUGGAAGACUUGGCUCAGGGUUUACUAAUGUGUGCAUUUCUGUAAGCUAUAAAGUAAUAUUGAUACCCUGAGAUGUGGGUCACUGCAGAUCACAGGCUCCUGGUAUAGAUUCUAUUGGGAAUCCAAAAAAGGAUUGAACAGUUUUUUAUUAUACAACUCAUGAUGCUGUCCAGGAUGUGUUCAUACAAAUCAGUGGAUUCCUGAAGAUGUGGUUUCUCUUCUCUGUACUUUCGAUCAUGGUGUGUGUAUAUCUCCUCUGGCUAUUUGGGGAGGCUGUGUUUGGUCUGGGGAAUGGAAAUGUCUGGCGGGUUGAGGUGCAGUGCAGGGGUAGCCAGUCCUCCCCACAAGCCAGUGCUUGCAGUCACGGUAAGACAAACCCUAAGGGCAAAGAGAAUCCUGGAGUGAGGUUGUCUGAUGAGUGAAAAGGCCUGGGCUGUAGACUGAAACUCUGUAAAGGAGAUUAGUUUUGACAAUUUUAGGGAUGAGCUAUAUAGUAAGUUGAAUAGUAUUCUCCCAAAAUUCAUGUCCAGAACUUCAGAACGUGACUUCAUUUAGAAAUAACGUCUUUGUAGAUAUAAUCAAGUUAAGAUGAGGUCAUGUUGGAUUAGUUUGGCUGUAACCCAGUGACUGGUGCCCUUAUGAGAAAAGGGACAUUUAGACACAGCCCUGUGUAAAGAUCAGAGGUACACAAGGAAAAUGCCAUGUGAAAAAGGAGGCUGAGAUUGGAGUGAUGAAUGUACAAGCCAAAGAAUGCCAAAAAUUGCCAAAAACCACCAGAAACUAGGCAAAGCAGGAUCCUCCCCUCAUACCUCCUUAGAGAGUGUAGCCCUACUGACACCUUGAUUUUGGACUUCUAGUCUCCAGAACUGUGAGAGAAUAAGUUUCUGUUGUUACUCAGCUUGUGGCAAUUUAUUAUGUCAGCCUUAGGAAACAUGGUAGGAAUGUAAAAAUGUUCUUUCAGAAAGUGCUUCAGUGGAACUAUAAGAGUUGUUAUACCAGGUGAGGCUCUGCGUCUAAAUUGAUGGAUUUCUUUAGGUACUUUUGGAAGAGGGGAACCUAGGGCAUCCCAGGAACAGGGUAAGGAAUGAGGGUGGUUGUCCUGGUGAUAACUGGACAACCUUAAGCUCUUUCUUUACUGUCCAGAAAAUAGGGGAAAUCUGCCUCAUAUUCACUUGGGUAUAGUGUUCCCUUCUUUUUGUCCCAUGUGACAGGAGAGCUAUUCUAAGAUUCUCUUUGGUGCACACAUUUUAGACAAGAUUGGAUGUGCCCUGAGGAACUUUAACCCUUCAGAAAAGGGUCAGUAGUCCCUUUUGGGAAAUUUUCCCCUUCCUUCGGUUGACUUAGGACAGAAAAUUUGGGAAAACAAACUAUUUGCUAUGCAUGUGGGUCUUAUUUGCUUUGGGAAUAUUCUUAUCCUACACAAGAGUGCUCUGAGGUUUCUUGCUCCCUGCUCUGAUGUGGGUGAGCCCUAUCCCUGAAACAGGGGUUGGAUAUAGUCCUUCUGAACCUAUGAAUCUGUGGUAACUUAUGAAGCUUCUUUAUAUUCCUUAGCAUUCCCUCAUGUAACUUCUCGAGGUAAUAUUGGAUGAGGUUGAGCCCAUCCUGAAGGGCAGAGGCUGAGUUUGUACCUUCCAGGCUCUCACAAUGUUCCAUUGUGCCCCAGCUAUGACUUCACUAUCCUGAAAACCCAAUAAGUGACAGUAGGGGCAGGAUUUCCCCAUGUCCUUUCCCAUCCCGAGGAUAUGUUUUUUUCAGAGUCCAAUUUAGGCUCAAAUCCUGGCCCUGGAAUCUUCUUUGUGACAGGUAUCCUCAGUUUCAUCUUUGGACCCUGCAUCUUCCUUUUUAUCGUUUUCCUGGUGAUUCAGCAAUGCAGAAAGAAAAUGAAGGGCGAAGGUUGGUUUUCACAAUCUUCAUGGGGUGAAUGUCCGGGAGAGGAGAAACUCCUGAAUGAAGAUGAGCUUCAAUGUGAGGAUGCUGAGCUUAGCACUUCUGGGAUGUCGUUUGAAGAUCAAAUAUGCCUGUAUUGAAACUCCUGUUACAUUUUGGUCAAGACUAGAGGUCCAGAAAAUAUCACUGUCUCUAUCCAGAUAGGAUAGUGCCGACUUGUGUUCCAUAUCUACAUAAAUUGUCCUUUUAGACCAGUUCUGUGUUAUCAAGAAAUCUUUGUGAAUAUCUAGAGACUUUAACACAAACUGGUUUUAUAGAAUUCAUACCCAAGCUGUGUUAAUCCAAAUACAUUUUCUUCUCUUGUGUGAAAUCCUAGGUGACUGAUCUAUGGUCAGACUGAGGGAGAUGCUGAAUCCAGCUCCAGAUCUGAGGUUUCUUUCCUCAAGAUGACAUCACAGUAAAAACAUGUGACUAUUCCAGAAAUGUUCCGUCCUAAUUACAUCAUCUUUUCUUACAUAAUUUCAGCCCCUCCCCCAUGGACUCUGGAAUUUGAUUUCAUGUGGGUGUUUCAGAAAUUUCUUAGUAAAAAUAAGUAAAUCUAAAAACUUCUCAGAGGCAUAACUGGAAUAGUAAAGUACAAAAGUCACUUGGAAUCACAAUGUUUUUAUGUUAACUUUGUGACUUUGGCUGUGAAGAUACUUAAACCUCAACUUGCUUCCACACCCAAUAUGCCUUUUCAUGGGUGAGUUACUGGGUAUAGCACACACAUGUUUAAUUAAAAUAGAUAUCAUUUCUUGUGUCCUCAA